rnacentral:rRNA from 1 species
UGGCUCAGAUUGAACGCUGGCGGCAGGCCUAACACAUGCAAGUCGAGCGGUAGCACAGAGAGCUUGCUCUCGGGUGACGAGCGGCGGACGGGUGAGUAAUGUCUGGGAAACUGCCUGAUGGAGGGGGAUAACUACUGGAAACGGUAGCUAAUACCGCAUAAUGUCGCAAGACCAAAGUGGGGGACCUUCGGGCCUCAUGCCAUCAGAUGUGCCCAGAUGGGAUUAGCUAGUAGGUGGGGUAACGGCUCACCUAGGCGACGAUCCCUAGCUGGUCUGAGAGGAUGACCAGCCACACUGGAACUGAGACACGGUCCAGACUCCUACGGGAGGCAGCAGUGGGGAAUAUUGCACAAUGGGCGCAAGCCUGAUGCAGCCAUGCCGCGUGUGUGAAGAAGGCCUUCGGGUUGUAAAGCACUUUCAGCGGGGAGGAAGGCGUUAAGGUUAAUAACCUUGGCGAUUGACGUUACCCGCAGAAGAAGCACCGGCUAACUCCGUGCCAGCAGCCGCGGUAAUACGGAGGGUGCAAGCGUUAAUCGGAAUUACUGGGCGUAAAGCGCACGCAGGCGGUCUGUCAAGUCGGAUGUGAAAUCCCCGGGCUCAACCUGGGAACUGCAUUCGAAACUGGCAGGCUAGAGUCUUGUAGAGGGGGGUAGAAUUCCAGGUGUAGCGGUGAAAUGCGUAGAGAUCUGGAGGAAUACCGGUGGCGAAGGCGGCCCCCUGGACAAAGACUGACGCUCAGGUGCGAAAGCGUGGGGAGCAAACAGGAUUAGAUACCCUGGUAGUCCACGCCGUAAACGAUGUCGAUUUGGAGGUUGUGCCCUUGAGGCGUGGCUUCCGGAGCUAACGCGUUAAAUCGACCGCCUGGGGAGUACGGCCGCAAGGUUAAAACUCAAAUGAAUUGACGGGGGCCCGCACAAGCGGUGGAGCAUGUGGUUUAAUUCGAUGCAACGCGAAGAACCUUACCUGGUCUUGACAUCCACAGAACUUACCAGAGAUGCAUUGGUGCCUUCGGGAACUGUGAGACAGGUGCUGCAUGGCUGUCGUCAGCUCGUGUUGUGAAAUGUUGGGUUAAGUCCCGCAACGAGCGCAACCCUUAUCCUUUGUUGCCAGCGGUUCGGCCGGGAACUCAAAGGAGACUGCCAGUGAUAAACUGGAGGAAGGUGGGGAUGACGUCAAGUCAUCAUGGCCCUUACGACCAGGGCUACACACGUGCUACAAUGGCAUAUACAAAGAGAAGCGACCUCGCGAGAGCAAGCGGACCUCAUAAAGUAUGUCGUAGUCCGGAUUGGAGUCUGCAACUCGACUCCAUGAAGUCGGAAUCGCUAGUAAUCGUAGAUCAGAAUGCUACGGUGAAUACGUUCCCGGGCCUUGUACACACCGCCCGUCACACCAUGGGAGUGGGUUGCAAAAGAAGUAGGUAGCUUAACCUUCGGGA